GUGUGUGUGUGUGUUUGUGUGUGUGUUUUUGUUUGUGUGUGUCUGUUCGUUCCAUAUCCUGAUUCCUCACCCACUAAGGGAUUGCCUUGUUUUUCGCAUCUUCGAGAAGCUCUCAGAGGAAUUCCCUCGGCUUCAACAUGGGGAAGAAAACUCGGAUAUUGCCCCACGACUUGGUCCCGGAGGAG